UGGGGGAUAUUGCACAAUGGGCGCAAGCCUGAUGCAGCGACGCCGCGUGGGGGAUGAAGGCCUUCGGGUUGUAAACUUCUUUUGCUCUGAACAAGGCGCACUUUGGGGUGUGUUGAGUGUAGGGGUUGAUUAGCGCCGGCUAACUACGUGCCAGCAGCCGCGGUAAUACGUAGGGCGCGAGCGUUGUCCGGAAUUAUUGGGCGUAAAGGGCUUGUAGGUGGCUGGUUGCGUCUGUCGUGAAAGCUCAUGGCUUAACUGUGGGUUUGCGGUGGGUACGGGCUGGCGUGAGUGCAGUAGGGGAGGCUGGAAUUCCUGGUGUAGCGGUGGAAUGCGCAGAUAUCAGGAGGAAUACCAGUGGCGAAGGCGGGUCUCUGGGCUGUUACUGACACUGAGGAGCGAAAGCAUGGGGAGCGAACAGG
rnacentral:rRNA from 1 species